rnacentral:rRNA from 1 species
CCUACGGGAGGCAGCAGUGGGGAAUAUUGGGCAAUGGGCGCAAGCCUGACCCAGCAACGCCGCGUGAAGGAAGAAGGCUUUCGGGUUGUAAACUUCUUUUGUCAGGGACGAAGCAAGUGACGGUACCUGACGAAUAAGCCACGGCUAACUACGUGCCAGCAGCCGCGGUAAGACGUAGGUGGCAAGCGUUAUCCGGAUUUAUUUGGGGUAAAGGGCGUGUAGGGGGGAAUGCAAGUCAGAUGUGAAAACUAUGGGCUCAACCCAUAGCCUGCAUUUGAAACUGUAUUUCUUGAGUGCUGGAGAGGCAAUCGGAAUUCCGUGUGUAGCGGUGAAAUGCGUCGAUAUACGGAGGAACACCAGUGGCGAAGGCGGAUUGCUGGACAGUAACUGACGCUGAGGCGCGAAAGCGUGGGGAGCAAACAGGAUUAGAUACCCGAGUAGUC